CUACGGGGUGCUGCAGUGGGGAAUAUUGCACAAUGGGCGCAAGCCUGAUGCAGCCAUGCCGCGUGUAUGAAGAAGGCCUUCGGGUUGUAAAGUACUUUCAGCGGGGAGGAAGGGAGUAAAGUUAAUACCUUUGCUCAUUGACGUUACCCGCAGAAGAAGCACCGGCUAACUCCGUGCCAGCAGCCGCGGUAAUACGGAGGGUGCAAGCGUUAAUCGGAAUUACUGGGCGUAAAGCGCACGCAGGCGGUUUGUUAAGUCAGAUGUGAAAUCCCCGGGCUCAACCUGGGAACUGCAUCUGAGACUGGCAAGCUUGAGUCUCGGAGAGGGGGGUAGAAUUCCAGGUGUAGCGGUGAAAUGCGUAGAGAUCUGGAGGAAUACCGGUGGCGAAGGCGGCCCCCUGGACGAAGACUGACGCUCAGGUGCGAAAGCGUGGGGAGCAAACAGGAUUAGAUACCCCCGUAGUC
rnacentral:rRNA from 1 species